AAUAGAUACCCGGGUAGUCCACGCCGUAAACGAUGAGUGCUAAGUGUUAGGGGGGUUUCCGCCCCUUAGUGCUGCAGCUAACGCAUUAAGCACUCCGCCUGGGGAGUACGGUCGCAAGACUGAAACUCAAAGGAAUUGACGGGGGCCCGCACAAGCGGUGGAGCAUGUGGUUUAAUUCGAAGCAACGCGAAGAACCUUACCAGGUCUUGACAUCCCACUGACCGCUAUGGAGACAUAGUUUUCCCUUCGGGGACAGUGGUGACAGGUGGUGCAUGGUUGUCGUCAGCUCGUGUCGUGAGAUGUUGGGUUAAGUCCCGCAACGAGCGCAACCCUUGAUCUUAGUUGCCAUCAUUUAGUUGGGCACUCUAAGGUGACUGCCGGUGACAAACCGGAGGAAGGUGGGGAUGACGUCAAAUCAUCAUGCCCCUUAUGACCUGGGCUACACACGUGCUACAAUGGACGGUACAAACGGUUGCCAACCCGGCGAGGGGGAGCUAAUCCGAUAAAACCGUUCUCAGUUCGGAUUGUAGGCUGCAACUCGCCUAC
rnacentral:rRNA from 1 species